UGUUUCAAGGCUAGGUCGAGAAUCGACCUGCUCUGAUACCAACUGUAACAACCCGUAUAAUAUAUAUCUAGAAUAAUAUCAUACAAGUGUUAAUAAUUGGUACUGAUCCAAUAUAAGUGCCUAAUGGCAUCAAUAAAUAUACAUGUCCAAGCUAAAAACAUGAAUGGAACAUGAUAUACAAUAAUGCCUAAACAAUAAAAAUCUAAGAUCUAUGUGCAAUAUCUUCAUUGCACACAACUCCACAGCGGAAGAUCAUGAUAAACAGCAU
rnacentral:lncRNA from 1 species